rnacentral:rRNA from 1 species
AGCAGCCGCGGUAAUUCCAGCUCCAAUAGCGUAUAUUAAAGUUGUUGCAGUUAGAAAGCUCGUAGUUGAAUUUCGGGGUCUGUCCAUUGGUCGGGCUUCACGGUCCGUACUGGUGAGAUGGGUUCCUACCUUCUGAAUAACCAGCAUGCCAUUUAGUUGGUGCGUUGGGGAAGCAGAGCUAUUACCUUGAAAAAUUAGAGUGCUUAAAGCAGGCUAGUGCUUGAAUAGAUUAGCAUGGAAUAAUAAAAUAGGACGGCAUGGUUCUAUUUUGUUGGUUUCUAGGAUCACCGUAAUGAUUAAUAGGGAUAGUUGGGGGCAUUAGUAUUCAAUUGUCAGAGGUGAAAUUCUUGGAUUUAUUGAAGACUAACUUCUGCGAAAGCAUUUGCCAAGGAUGUUUUCAUUAAUCAAGAACGAAAGUUAGGGGAUCGAAGACGAUCAGAUACCGUCGUAGUCUUAACCAUAAACUAUGCCGACUAGGGAUCGGAUGAUGUUAAUUUUUAAUGA